rnacentral:tRNA from 2 species
GCCAAGGUGGCUCAGUCGGUAGAGCGGCGCACUCGUAAUGCGCAGGUCCCGGGUUCGAUUCCCGGCCUUGGCU